GAACGCAUGGCGCUCUCCAUGUUGACUCUGCUAAGACCAAUAAUGCCCUUGGUGGCGUCACUUUAAUUUGUGCUCCCGAAGGCAAACUGCUGUCCUCAGAGCCUUGGAGGAUAUUGUUUAUAUUAAAGAUGGGGACAGAGGGGGAAACCAGACCUGAUCUGCAGCAGCGGAUGGACAGAUGUUAGGGAGAGCCUGUGGUUUCUGGAAGUUCAAAUCCUGCCACCCGCACCUCCCGGAUGAGGCCCUUAUCUAGUCCAAAAGAUAUGGCAGGAGGUUCUCGGCAAUGUUGGGGUUCUCCGUGCAGGCAAAGCCCAGGGGACUGGGUUACAAGGUCACCGCUGACUGAGAGGCAAGAACAGAAGAGAAAUAGUCUGGGCAGAGUCUCAGGCAGAUACUCCAACCUAUCCAGGCUGCAGAUGAAGGCAGGGGGAGAGCAGAAGGAGGAGAGAGCCUGCCUUGGUGAAGAGGGACUUCCAGGAAGAAGAUACAGAGCUCCUGAAAGCAGCCAUAGGAGUAACCCAUGGAAGAGUCGCUCCCAGCACCCCCGUCCCCCAGCCCCUGGAUUUACCCAUUCUGGACUUUGCGCAUAAAUGGAAUCAUACAGCAUGUGGUCUUUCGCGUCUGGCUUCUUACUACCUGGCAUAAUAUUGUCAAGUCUCGCCCAUGUUGUGGCAUGAACCAGCCCUUCAUUCACGGUGAGGCUCAGAGGUCAAGCAGUUUCUGUUGGAUGAAAGACCCCAAAGUAAGUGUCAUCAGUCUGGAAAGAGAAAGUCUGAGGACAGACAGGAUCAAAGGAUGAAACAUCUGAAGACAUGUGGCUGGGCGAAUAUCAAGUAGCCCACGCCCCAGGACCACAGGAGGGCCUCCCGGAUGCUGGGAAGGGGCUAUGUGGGGGCAAAUAAAAGCAAGCA